rnacentral:rRNA from 1 species
UACGAAGGGGGCUAGCGUUGCUCGGAAUUACUGGGCGUAAAGGGCGCGUAGGCGGGUUAUCAAGUUGGGGGUGAAAGCCCGGGGCUCAACCUCGGAAUUGCCUUCAAAACUGGUAGCCUAGAGUAUGAUAGAGGUAUGUGGAACUCCGAGUGUAGAGGUGAAAUUCGUAGAUAUUCGGAAGAACACCAGUGGCGAAGGCGACAUACUGGGUCAUGACUGACGCUGAGGCUCGAAAGCGUGGGGAGCAAACAGG